GGGCUUAUUUCGGCAGCACAUAUACUAAAACUGGAACGAUACAAAGAAGAUUAGCAUGGCCCUUGUGCAAGGAUGACACACAAAUUUGUGAAGUGUUCCAUAUUUUU
rnacentral:snRNA from 1 species